GGAUAACAGGGUGAUCCUGGGGUGCCGAGAAAAGCCUCGACGCGAUGGUGCCAGCCGCCCGUACCCUAAACCGACACAGGUGGUCGGGCAGAGUAUGCCUAGGCGCACGAGUGAAUCAUGGUUAAGGAACUCGGCAAAAUGCCCCCGUAACUUCGGGAGAAGGGGGACCUUGAGCGUGAUGGGCACUUGCUGCCUUGAGCGUGUAUGGGUCGCAGAGACCAGGGGGAAGCGACUGUUUACUAAAAACACAGGUCCGUGCGAAGCCGUAAGGCGAUGUAUACGGACUGACGCCUGCCCGGUGCUGGAAGGUUAAGAGGAACCAUUAACCCUCGGGUGACGUGGUGAAUUUAAGCCCCAGUAAACGGCGGUGGUAACUAUAACCAUCCUAAGGUAGCGAAAUUCCUUGUCGGGUAAGUUCCGACCUGCACGAAUGGCGUAACGACUUCUCCGCUGUCUCAACCGUGAACUCGGUGAAAUUGCAGUACGAGUAAAGAUGCUCGUUUCGCGCAGAAGGACGGAAAGACCCCGGGACCUUUACUAUAGCUUGGUAUUGGUGUUCGCUUGGACUUGUGUAGGAUAGGUGGGAGACUGUGAAGCUGCCGCGCCAGCGGUGGUGGAGUCGUCGUUGAAAUACCAUUCUGGUUCAAGCGGUCACCUUAACCUUGGCCCGUGAUCCGGGUUGGGGACAGUGCCUGGUGGGUAGUUUAACUGGGGCGGUUGCCUCCUAAAAUGUAACGGAGGCGCUCAAAGGUUCCCUCAGCCUGGUUGGUAAUCAGGUGGCGAGUGCAAGUGUACAAGGGAGCUUGACUGUGAGACCGACGGGUCGAGCAGGUGCGAAAGCAGGAACUAGUGAUCCGGCCAUGGCACGUGGGUGCGUGGUCGCUCAACGGAUAAAAGGUACCCCGGGGAUAACAGGCUGAUCUUGCCCAAGAGUCCAUAUCGACGGCAUGGUUUGGCACCUCGAUGUCGGCUCGUCGCAUCCUGGGGCUGGAGUUGGUCCCAAGGGUUGGGCUGUUCGCCCAUUAAAGCGGUACGCGAGCUGGGUUCAGAACGUCGUGAGACAGUUCGGUCCCUAUCCUCUGUGCGCGCAGGAAAUUUGAGAAGGGCCGUCCCCAGUACGAGAGGACCGGGAUGGACGAACCUCUGGUGUGCCAGUUGUACCGCCAGGUGCAUGGCUGGUUAGCUACGUUCGGAAGGGAUAA
rnacentral:rRNA from 1 species